rnacentral:rRNA from 1 species
AUACGGAGGAUCCGAGCGUUAUCCGGAUUUAUUGGGUUUAAAGGGUGCGCAGGCGGCCAUUUAAGUCAGCGGUUAAAUCGUGGGGCUCAACCCCAUUCUGCCGUUGAUACUGGGUGGCUUGAUUGCGGUCGAGGUUGGCGGAAUUCGUUGUGUAGCGGUGAAAUGCAUAGAUAUGACGAAGAACACCGAUUGCGUAGGCAGCUGACCAGACCGCAAAUGACGCUCAUGCACGAAAGUGCGGGGAUCGAACAGGAUUAGAUGCCCUGGUAGUCCGCACAGUAAACGAUGAAUACUUGUUUUCGGCGAUAUAAUGUCGGAGGCAAAGCGAAAGCGAUAAGUAUUCCACCUGGGGAGUACGCCGGCAACGGUGAAACUCAAAGGAAUUGACGGG